rnacentral:lncRNA from 1 species
AUAAUAUAAAUUUUAUUAUUUUUCAAUAUCAUUUGAAGUACUUAGAAAAUAUAGUAUAUUAAUUAUUAUAUAUUUAUUAUAUGGUCGAAUUUUUUAUUCCGAAUUUUUAAUUGGUGAACGUAUAAUAUCUGUAUAAAUCACGUAUCUGAAUUAUUUCCGAAUCCGUUUUUUAGACGUAAUUUUCAACAAAUUUAAAAAUUAAAAAAUAAAAUUUAUCCAAAUUAUACCCGUACCGAAUUAUUGCCGAAUCCGAAUUAACUAAUUAUGCCAAGAAAUGAGACAUUGGAAGAAUCUUUUUAAUCUUCCAACAACGUGUAUUAACCAUCCAUCUUAUCUUCCCACAAAAAACAACCAAACUCCUUGUCUCCAACAAACAGCGAGUAAGCUGCCGUUAGCAUAAUCGCAAAAGCUGCCGUUAGCUUCAAAAAGAAGAGAAAUUGAAAAACCCAAUUUCUCUUCAAUUUCUCUUUUCUCUUUCACCCUAACCACCCAUCAAAUUUGAUGGGCGGUUAAGAAUUUAGGAGCACAAGGGCUGCUGCGCUCCUAAUAGCACAGUAGCCCUACUCUAUAUAUAUAUAUAUAGAGAGAGAGAGAGCAAGGCUGCUGUAUCCGUGCUCCUGAGUCGCUUUCAAUGAUGCAAUUUUCGAUUCGACAAUCAGCUCUGUUAGACUUGAUCUAGCGUAUUUGAAGUUUCUAGAAAAUAAUUUUUGCGAUUUUUUCAUAUCAUUUACCUAGCAAUCGAAAGGAUUCAAAAUCAAAAAUUUUUAACGGAAGAAAAUAAAAUCCUAUAAAAAGUGGUGAUAUAACAUUAAAUUUUUUUAUCAGAAAUAUUGAUUUUAUUGUAGAUAGUAAAAAAUUUUAUAUCAAUAUUUCAUCUGAUUUGAAUACUUCUAUACCGUUAAACUUGAAAAUGGCAGAUAUCAACAAUUAAAAAUUAUUGAUUUUGAAUUCUUUCGAUCACUAGGUAAAUGAUAUGAAAAAAUUGCAAAAAUUAUUUUCUAGAAACUUCAAAUACCCUAGAUCAAGUCUAACGGAGCCGAUCGUCGAUUUGAAAAUUUCAUCAUCGAAAACGGCUCAGGAGCACGCCCCCGUGCUCCUGAGAGCACAGACCUGUCUAUAUUAUAUAUAUAUAUAUAUAUAUAUAUAUAUAUAUAUAUAUAAA